rnacentral:miRNA from 10 species
UUUGGGAGGCCAAGGCGGGUGGAUCACUUGAGCUCAGGAGUUCGAGACCAGCCUGGGCAACAUAGUGAGACCUCCGCCUCUACAAAAA